CAACCAGCCAGCUCAGCUGCAAGGUGACUGGUUGGAAGAGCCCAUAGGACCCGCCUUGUGCACACCAUCAGUGGGCCUCAUGUGCAGUCCUGGGGUCCUCAGCCCACUGCCCUACCUGCCCUCAGAGUCCUGGAGAGCACAGUCUUAUGAACUCAUCCAUUCUGACAGGUUUCCUAUCUCCAUGGGCAAUAAUGGUGGUACCUGGUUCCACACCAGGUUCAGUCACUGCUUGGAGGAAACAGUUGCUUCCAGGCAGCUGGAGGGACUCUAAGAGGAGAAAUUCAUCACUAAUCACACUCCAAAGGACUUUUAUCCUGGAUCAUCAAGGAGUCUCCUUGUGAAGCAGAGAAGAUAAGAAAUAGACACCUUUGGGGGGGGGGGUGCCAAAUUUAUUCAUAAAGCAUUUUUACUGCUUCAUCCUUUUCCACCAAAAUUCUUUUAUCUAUGUGAUUACAAGAAACUCAUCCACCAUAAUCAAAAAUUAUGCCAUGCAAGGGCCCCUGAGAGGACCAGAAACAAGAGGACCAUUUUCAAGAUGUACAUGAAGUCUUGAAAAUUGCAAAAACAAUUGUAUUUUCCUAUAAAGUGUACCUCCAAAUAUGAAAAAUACUCCAGGCCACUAUUUUGUUUACCACCUCACUAGUACAAGGACCCCCAGUUGUCCUUCUUCCUCUUGCUUCUGCUUUUUUUCUCAUUAAUAAUCUAGCAUAAAAUAUAACAAUUGGUUUUAUAAACUUGUUCUCCUACUAUCAUCCAAGUAGUUG
ensembl:lncRNA